rnacentral:rRNA from 1 species
AUGCACCUAUCAAUCUUUCUUCUGUAUGCAGGUUACACACCUGAUGAUGUUUACGGCGAGGCGCAGGAACAAGCAGAGGCCGAGGAAGUGCGGGCACACGCGAGGAAGGUUCAGCGGGCUGCAGAAGUCGGGCCACGCCCGGAGCGCCGUGCCAAUGCAUGUGUGCGUGGUUGGUGGGUUGGCCAAGAUCUGCAUUCUGCGACUUCGUCUUCACCAUGGACACAAGCAAGGACUGAUUCGUGGGUCUUGGUAGCAGUGCCGAGCAUCGGCGGAUCGAAGAGGUCGAGGUCGCGGUUGAUCGACCAGGACGAGACAUGCAUCUUGGAGCUAGCGCAGAGGGGGAAAGAAGCAGGUUGGUCUGGCCUGGCCUCGCAAAUGAAUUGA